GGAGGAUUAGCUCAGCUGGGAGAGCAUCUGCCUUACAAGCAGGAGGUCACAGGUUCGAUCCCUGUAUUCUCCA
rnacentral:tRNA from 2 species